UUUUUUUUUUUCUCUGGCGCCCUCUCGUGGGAGGCGGGAGAUCAAUCCCAAACGUCGCUCGUCCCGGAAACAGGGAAAGAUGAAGGACACUGGGACCAUGACCCAGCUGAAGGCAGAUUCCCAACAACUGAGCCACCCAGGCGCCCCAAGCACGGCACAUGCUUACUUCAUUUCUCCCAGUGUGGACAUCAUCGUCCUGAAAGACACCUGUGCAGGUAAGUCCGCCCUUUUCAGAUCCCUGGCGGGGACCUCCCAUGACCAGUGAUGCUCCAUCUGGAAAUCAGGUGAGCUCCUCAGACCCUGCUCCUAUGUGCAGAGGAAGCUGCUGCAAAAUGCAGUCAUGUUCCAGAACCUUCCAUCCAGAGCCCUCUGGUAGUUCAGCCUGCUUCCAGCUGCUAGAAUAUAUCCCUUUGAUGGAAUGGCACUGUUUUUGGUCUUCCUUUUAUUUUUCAAGACCAAGCCAAUAGGAAGGAAGGAGCCUCCAUGAAGCUCUCAAUCAUUUUGUAUCUCUGAGCUUCGAUUUUCCCAUCUGUGAAAUGGGGAUGAUAGCACGAGUUUGUUAUUAACAGCUGCCUUAGCCCAGAGCCUGGCCCAGUGUCAGGACCUGACAAAUCAUCACUGUUGGUGUUACAACGGCCCCGAUAACUGACAAUUUUCCGCGUAGCGCCUGCCUCUGGAAGUGCUGGGUUCGGCUACCCCUCUCGGAAAGGAAGCCCUCCUUGAUCCUCUCUAAUGGGGUCAGGAUGCCUGGCCUUGGGACACACUGCAUUUUGCCCAUAGCGUUCACUGCAGUGUGAAAGCAAUGAUUUUUUAAACUUAGUAACCUACGCACACAAGACUGUGAGCUUCAUGAGAGCAGGGACCUUGCUGCCUUGUUCCUAUGAUGUGUCACCAAGUCUCUGCUCUACUGAUCGGUCCACAACAGGUGCUUAGUAAAAAUACUGGAUGAAGGAGUGAGUGAAACUCUGGCCAGUGGGACACUAACCUAAGCACACUUGUCGUUGGGGACGUGGGGGCAGGAGCUGGAGGACCACACUUUUGCCAGCAGUUUGCCCCCAACUGGGCCAUGUGCCAGGACUGGUUCCUGAAAAUGAGCACAAUCUCGCUUGAGCAAGUACCUGGGCCAUUCCUGAGUCCUCUCCUGAAUGUCAAGAGCCUUUGUCCCUGGGGCAGUCUUCCCCACUUGUCCUGUCUCCACACCACCCUCACCAGGUCAGUAAAGGACUCAUAUGACUGGCCUGGGUCCUGGGGGAAGGGCAGCAGGAGCAAGGAACACACCCCCCAAAGCCACUAUUGAAAUUAGAAGGUAGAAGGGUGUAGAAAACAAGAUGGAGUCACUCAUGUCAAGCAGGGUCCUGUGCGGAGUAAUGAUGCCAGCUGCUAAGGGAACCUCGGCUGUGAGAUAUCGCCAGGUCCAGCCCCAGCUGACCACACACCCGAGCUGAUAGCAAGCAGGAGCAGAGCAGGUGUGCGGCAGUCCAGGACUGAUAAACCCCUUUCAAUGGCAAAGGAUGUUGGCAGCAAACUGUCAGACUCUUCAACCAUGAACCCCUCUCUGUCUGCCCACUGAAAAAAAGGCAGACAACGCCCAACAAUCUGCUUGACAAUCUCCCAACAGAACUGAGAUCCUUCCCAGUUUGAACAGAAUAAGGAGAAGCAGUAAGUGCUGAGAGCUGACCGGGACUAAACCCAGGUCUCUUCUCAACAGUGCUCGCAGACUGACUUCACAUUUUUUCUUUUUUCUUUUUUUCUUUCCUUCCUUAACUUCCUCCCCCCUCUGUCAUCUUAUUGGUUGUGUGACUUGUGUAGUGUUCUGCUCUGCGUGCUGUGUAAGAAGCCAAGUCAGUCAUGUGGUGAAAUGUCAUUGACUUUGAAAUCCUGAACCUGCUUUGUAAUUAUGUGAACCCGGCUUUAGGACUGAAUAAAGCUGACAUUGUGGAA